rnacentral:ncRNA from 1 species
GAAUUGCGCAAAUUCCAUAAGAAAGAUGGUGAACUAUGAUUGUGUAGUUUGAAGCCAGAUAAAACUCUGGUGGAGAACCGCAGCGAUUCUGACAAGCAAAUCGAUCGUCAAACGUGAGUAUAGGAGCGAAAAAAUAAUCAAACCAUCUAGUGGCUGGUUCCCGCCGAAGUGUCCUUCAAAAUAGCUGACACUCAUUCGCAUGAUCAGUUUAAUCCGGUAAAACGAAUGACUAGAGGUACUGGGUUCAAAACGAGCUCAACAUAUUCUCAAACUUUAAAUGGUUGAGAUGCCUGGCUCGCUUUAUAGGAGUCGGGUGCUGAAUGUGAAAGUGCCAAGUAGGCCACUUUUGGUAAGCAGAACUGGCACUGUGGGAUGAAUCAACCACUCUGACAACCGCAUGCUUCUUUCGAAUUGCUCUCAUAUUUGACUUAGUCGCACAACUAUGUAAAUGUAAAGGCCUGAGGAGAAUUAAUCGAAAGCAGAUGCAUGCUUGGCAAAUUGCCUUUUGAAUUAAAA